UCACUUGUAGCUUAGUGGUCAGAGCAUUGGUGCGUAAAGCCAAAGGUCCGGGUUCCAUUCCCGGCGAGUGUG
rfam:Agrilus planipennis Contig56552, whole genome shotgun sequence.